UCUAAUAUUUUUAGACAGAAAUCUAUUAGGUCGGUAUACUUGAUUUGUCAUAUUUUGGUACUGCGCCAUAGAUUGCAUUGAAGCAUUUUAAUUGCAUUGUAUGAUCGGAGUAAUAAGAUAUUAUUUUGUACUACAAUCAUAAAUCUCUCUCUCUCUCGAUGUGAGGCACUUGGCGUUCAAGCAAAAUAACAACAGUACGAAACUGCGAAUGGAUAAGUUCUGCAAACGCUAAGAAGAAACAAUGACAGGUUAAAGACUUGUCGUUGUAAAGAGCGCUAGCCAGGUGUAUGUUUGAUUACGUAAGUGAUGUACCGCACUUAGGAAAUGAAGUGUCCGACAACACUUCCGAUUGACAAAACGUGCUGUUCUAUAGUCUCAGGUGCAGUAUUCACACAGACAUAUAAGUGAUGGAAAGCGAUGGAGCAAACAUUAACAGAUGGAGAAUAUUACUUCCUGGUGCUGCUGAUUACACUUCCUGUCAAUUUGUUUUUCUGUCUGUGGGCUUGGCUUGGAUGGGAGCUUUUUAAAAAUAAUUAGGGCUACAUUGAAAUAAAACUGCUAUCAUGCCAUUCAAA